AUACGUAGGGGGCGAGCGUUGUCCGGAAUGACUGGGCGUAAAGGGCGUGUAGGCGGCCGAUUAAGUCUGGAGUGAAAGUCCCGCUUUCAAGGUGGGAAUUGCUUUGGAGACUGGUUGGCUUGAGUGCGGAAGAGGUAAGUGGAAUUCCCAGUGUAGCGGUGAAAUGCGUAGAGAUUGGGAGGAACACCAGUGGCGAAGGCGAUUUACUGGGCCGUAACUGACGCUGAGGCGCGAAAGCGUGGGGAGCGAACAGGAUUAGAUACCCUGGUAGUCCACGCUGUAAACGAUGAAUGCUAGGUGUAGGGGGUAUCGACCCCUCCUGUGCCGGAGUAAACGCAAUAAGCAUUCCGCCUGGGGAGUACGGCCGCAAGGUUGAAACUCAAAUGAAUUGACGGGG
rnacentral:rRNA from 1 species